rnacentral:rRNA from 1 species
CCUACGGGUGGCAGCAGUGGGGGAUAUUGCACAAUGGGGGAAACCCUGAUGCAGCGACGCCGCGUGUGGGAAGACGGUCUUCUGGAUUGUAAACCACUGUCCCCAGGGACGAAAAUGACGGUACCUGGGGAGGAAGCUCCGGCUAACUACGUGCCAGCAGCCGCGGUAAUACGUAGGGAGCAGGGGUGUUCCGGAAUUACUGGGUGUAAAGGGAGCGAAGGCGGGGAUGCAAGUUGGGUGUCAAAACUACCGGCUCAACCGAUAGUCGCACUCAAAACUGCAGCUCUUGAGUGAAGUAGAGGCAGGCGGAAUUCCUAGUGUAGCGGUGAAAUGCGUAGAUAUUAGGAGGAACACCAGUGGCGAAGGCGGCCUGCUGGGCUUUUACUGACGCUGAGGCUCGAAAGUGUGGGGAGCAAACAGGAUUAGAUACCCGAGUAGUC